rnacentral:rRNA from 1 species
GGACGAACGCUGGCGGCGUGCCUAAUACAUGCAAGUAGAACGCUGAAGGAGGAGCUUGCUUCUCUGGAUGAGUUGCGAACGGGUGAGUAACGCGUAGGUAACCUGCCUGGUAGCGGGGGAUAACUAUUGGAAACGAUAGCUAAUACCGCAUAAGAGUAGAUGUUGCAUGACAUUUACUUAAAAGGUGCAAUUGCAUCACUACCAGAUGGACCUGCGUUGUAUUAGCUAGUUGGUGAGGUAACGGCUCACCAAGGCAACGAUACAUAGCCGACCUGAGAGGGUGAUCGGCCACACUGGGACUGAGACACGGCCCAGACUCCUACGGGAGGCAGCAGUAGGGAAUCUUCGGCAAUGGACGGAAGUCUGACCGAGCAACGCCGCGUGAGUGAAGAAGGUUUUCGGAUCGUAAAGCUCUGUUGUAAGAGAAGAACGAGUGUGAGAGUGGAAAGUUCACACUGUGACGGUAUCUUACCAGAAAGGGACGGCUAACUACGUG